rnacentral:rRNA from 1 species
UACGUAGGGGGCAAGCGUUGUCCGGAUUUAUUGGGCGUAAAGAGCUCGUAGGCGGUUGGGCAAGUCACGUGUGAAAUCUCCACGCUCAACGUGGAGGCGCCACGUGAGACUGCCCUGACUCGAGUCCGGUAGGGGAGUGUGGAAUUCCUGGUGUAGCGGUGAAAUGCGCAGAUAUCAGGAGGAACACCAACGGCGAAGGCAGCACUCUGGGCCGGAACUGACGCUGAGGAGCGAAAGCGUGGGUAGCGAACAGG